AAGGUUGGUGGAGAAGUACUGCAGAUGUCAGCAGGACCCUGGGCCUUCAGAGAGUCACAUCUGCCAGCUGUCCAGGAGUAGAUCUCUCUAUAUCCCGUCCUGGGAGUGUUCGCUAAGCUGGAUGUGGCUACUAUUUCAGACAUCGCUGAGGUCAAAUCCAGAGGCUCUUUUGACAGGACCAUGCUGGUGAGCCUGUUGUUGUGAUGGAAGUGGUGUAAACAAUGAAAAUGUAAAGAGGACUAAGGAAAGGCACACCAACCGAAUAUUUUCUCUGUAACAAAUGCUGUUUUCUUUGCUACUUUUCCCUUCAAGGAUUCGCUAGAAACCAAUAUUCUGUUAACUCAUCAUAAUGAUAUAUCAUAGACUGAUUCAUUCUGCAUGCAUUAAGUGUGGUGCACUGAAUCAUUCAAGC
ensembl:lncRNA